CCUACGGGAGGCUGCAGUGGGGAAUAUUGGACAAUGGGGGCAACCCUGAUCCAGCCAUGCCGCGUGUGUGAAGAAGGCCCUCGGGCUGUAAAGCACUUUCAGUGAGGAAGAACGCCUGGUGGUUAAUACCCAUCAGGAAAGACAUCACUCACAGAAGAAGCACCGGCUAACUCCGUGCCAGCAGCCGCGGUAAUACGGAGGGUGCGAGCGUUAAUCGGAAUUACUGGGCGUAAAGCGCGCGUAGGUGGCUUGAUAAGCCGGUUGUGAAAGCCCCGGGCUCAACCUGGGAACGGCAUCCGGAACUGUCAAGCUAGAGUGCAGGAGAGGAAGGUAGAAUUCCCGGUGUAGCGGUGAAAUGCGUAGAGAUCGGGAGGAAUACCAGUGGCGAAGGCGGCCUUCUGGACUGACACUGACACUGAGGUGCGAAAGCGUGGGUAGCAAACAGGAUUAGAUACCCUAGUAGUC
rnacentral:rRNA from 1 species